GCUUGCUACCAGGCGUCGAGCGGCGGACGGGUGAGUAAUACUUAGGAAUCUACCUAGUAGUGGGGGAUAGCACGGGGAAACUCGUAUUAAUACCGAAUACGACCUACGGGAGAAAGGGGGCAGUUUACUGCUCUCGCUAUUAGAUGAGCCUAAGUCGGAUUAGCUAGAUGGUGGGGUAAAGGCCUACCAUGGCGACGAUCUGUAGCUGGUCUGAGAGGAUGAUCAGCCACACCGGGACUGAGACACGGCCCGGACUCCUACGGGAGGCAGCAGUGGGGAAUAUUGGACAAUGGGGGAAACCCUGAUCCAGCCAUGCCGCGUGUGUGAAGAAGGCCUUUUGGUUGUAAAGCACUUUAAGCAGUGAAGAAGACUCUUCGGUUAAUACCCGGAGACGAUGACAUUAGCUGCAGAAUAAGCACCGGCUAACUCUGUGCCAGCAGCCGCGGUAAUACAGAGGGUGCAAGCGUUAAUCGGAAUUACUGGGCGUAAAGCGAGCGUAGGUGGCUUGAUAAGUCAGAUGUGAAAUCCCCGGGCUUAACCUGGGAACUGCAUCUGAAACUGUUAGGCUAGAGUAGGUGAGAGGAAAGUAGAAUUUCAGGUGUAGCGGUGAAAUGCGUACAGAUCUGAAGGAAUACCGAUGGUGAAGGCAGCUUCCUGGCAUCAUACUGACACUGAGGCUCGAAAGCGUGGGUAGCAAACAGGAUGAGAUACCCUGGUAGUCCACGCUGUAAACGAUGUCUACUAGUCGUUGGGUCCCUUGAGGAGUUAGUGACGCAGCUAACGCAAUAAUUAGACCGCCUGGGGAGUACGGCCGCAAGGUUAAAACUCAAAUGAAUUGACGGGGGCCCGCACAAGCGGUGGAGCAUGUGGUGUAUUUUGAUGCAACGCGAAGAACCUUACAUGGUCUUGACAUUUCUAGAAUCCUGCAGAGAUGCGGGAGUGCGUUUGGGAACUAGAAUACAGGUGCUGCAUGGCUGUCUUCAGUU
rnacentral:rRNA from 1 species